rnacentral:lncRNA from 1 species
GGCCCCGAGGCAUAUGGAGAUUCCCAGGCUGGGGGUCGAAUUGGAGCUGUAGCCACCAGCCUAUGCCAGAGCCACAGCAACUCAGGAUCCCAGCCCCGUCUGCAAACUACACUACAGCUCACAGCAAUGCCAGAUCCUUAACCCACUGAGCAAGGCCAGGGAUUGAACCUGCAACCUCAUGGUUCCUGGUCUGAUUCGUUAACCACUGUGCCAUGACAGGAACUCCCCCAGUCGCAUUCUUGACUAGCUGAGCCACAACAGGAACUCCAUUGGAAGGCUUAUUCUUGAUCACAGAGGCCAAUUGUUUAGAUGACCCAGGACCCAAGUAUGGCAACAAUUAAAGGAAAGCAACAAAAAAAGGAAAAUAAAAAUGUCCUUGUUUAUGGUAGCGGCAUCUCUAAAUAACACUGGACAACACAAGUCAGCACGGAAUAGCUUAGGACCAAGAGAGGCCUGGAUACCCGCCCAUAAACCCAGUCUUUAGCUAAGACUCGAAGGUGUAACUUUUCCGCAGGUCCCAAGAGACUCCAUAAGGACUUUAAAACUGCUGUUCCUACAGAGAUAAAUCACUUCAUAUAAAAACUGUAUCUCUGUGGCAUUCUUUAAAUUGGCUUUAGAAACCUGGGGUAUAGCUAUUUUCUUGGGGAUAGUUCUCAGAAACACAAACCAGAAGGAAAGGCAAGUCUCUAGCAUGAGUGAACAAAUUAAAGAGCCUUGAGAUUGCAGAAUAGCCUUAUAAAAGUCUUUUUAAAAGCAUAGCCUUACCAAAAGUAUUUGUAACUCAUUCUUGUCGGCAUAUAGUAAAGGAAAUAAAAGUACUUUCCUAAUCCUCAGUGUUGAGUAACUUUGAGGCGUAACAUUUAAAUCAGGCUUGCAAGAAACUCGUUUCUCAACAGUGACUGACAGGGGAGGAAAAACCCAACAGCUGAGUUUCUGCUGACCUUGGCAGUAUUUUAUAGGUUAUACAGUAAUGUUUCCCUCUGGAGAAUUGUUCUUUUCCAGCAGCUUUAAUUUGUUAAACCAAAAGGAAGAGAGUUUGUCUUCAGCCCUAGGCAUGCAUGCCUUCCUUUUCUCCUCUGACUUUUUGCUUCAGCAAACAUUUAUUCUAGGUAUUCUGUGAACAUUCCUUUCUAUUGAUUAAUGAUCAUGAUUAAUGCCUCUUUAAAUACUAAAAGGUGGUUUUCAAACUCUGAGUAAGGCUCUAAUUGUGUCUCACUUCUAUUAAUCUUUUCCAGAAAUAGGAAUAGUUGCUUUUGAAGAUUCUUGUCUGAUGGGAAUGUACCUUAAAUGAAAAGUUAGAAAUAACCCAGGGAAUUAUUUUUUAUUAGAAGGAAUACAAAGAGCCACCUCAUCCCGUAAGACUCUUGAAACUCAGUGCUGCAUGUCCUUUGUGAUGGAUUAUUUUGACAUUAACGUUCUUUUCUAAAUCUCCUAGUUUUUAUUUCUGUCCUUCCAUUGACCAAAUAUUUAUUGAGUGCCUACUAUGUGUCUGCCACUUUUCUGGGCUUGGCAUAUAAUCCUGACCAAAACAAAACCUCUGUCCCAGGGUGUUUUUAAUCUAUUAGAGACUGUCACAGACAAACCACGGUGCACCAUGUGGUUGAGUUGACUUCUAUGGUCGUUAACUGAGUCAUAGGUCCUGGCUGGCAGGAUACAUUCCAGUGUGCGGCCAGGUACACAGUGCCAUAGCCACAAGCUGCACCACAUUUAUAAUGCUCUGAUACGGUAGUGCAAAAGGUAUUUCGAGAGCAUCCUAGUGCCUGAGGUCCAUUUAUGGUGAUUAUGGAAGAGCAGUGUAAAUUGCCAGUCAUCAACAUAGUAUUUGCAUAAGAACCUUAGAUUUAUGUGUUUGGUUAGAAGUCCAAUAGGGAAAAGUAUUCCUCCACAGUUGAACAUGAAUCUCCCUCAAUCUGUUUGUUAUAUAAUGUGCAUGCAUUACCAUAGAUUUGUGCUUACUUUCUGUGAAAUCUUCAAUUGAUGAACACAUUGGAAAAGUGAAAAUGAAAUGAAGUUUGAAAUAAAUGAAAUAAAAUUCAAUUAUAAAAUGAAAUUGACCCUUAAGAGAUUACCAAAAAAGUUGGUGGUAAUUAUAUUAGCACUUUGAUCAAAGAUGAUGAACCCAUUAUUUAUUGAAUGUUGAAAAUAUGUAUUUAGUGAGAGUCUAAAGCUCUUUUAAAAAGUAUUCAUUAACAGUGAAUUCUAAGGCUCUUUGUCUCUGCUCCCCCUGGGAAUACAAAUUCUAAUAAAUCCUAACACAAAAUUUGUAGGAUUGGCAAAGCCAAUGCUCUCUGGGAUUUUUCUGUUUUUCUUUUUUUAGUUUUUUUGUGUUUUUACGGCUGCACCCACAGCAUAUGGAAGUUCCCAGGCUAGGGGAUCUGAUUGGAGCUACAGCUGCCAGCCUAUACCACAGCAACACGGAAUCCAAGCCAUGUCUACACCACAGCUCACGGCAACAUCAGAUCCUUAACCCACUGAACAAGGCCAGGGAUCAAACUUCCAUCCUCAUGGAUACUAGUCAGGUUGGUUACUGCUGAGCCACAUGGGAAACUCCUGGAUUUUUGUUUUUGAUUUUGUUUCUCUUGAAAGGAGCCAUUAGUGCCUUUCUUGCAUGAGUGCUGAGGUACUGACAGUGAACCUCUAUUUGAAAACAAAUAAACUUCAGAAAGGCAUUCCACAGUGAAAGAUGAAAACACAAUCUGUUAUAUGGCCAGCUCUACAGUCAAAGUGAUAGCUAACACAGCAAUCACACAAAUUAUGUGCCAGGCACAGUUCUAAACAGUUUAUAUAGCAACUCACUCCACACCACAAACUUAUUCAAUAAGGUAAGUGCCAUCAAGGUCCCUAUUUUAUGGGUGAGGAGUCAGGAAUUUUCUUCAAGGUCACGUGGAAGAGCAGGAGUAGAACUCAGGCAGGGCAGGCUGGCUCUGGACCUCUGUGCUCUUCACCAUGACACGAUCUUGCCGUAGACACAGACAUCAUGUGUACAGCAUGGGGUCCCAGGUGCCUGAAGGCUGAACAUCCUGGCCAUCCAUCUGCUCACUGAGCCAGAGUGCGACUACAUCCACCUAGGUCUGCCCCGGUCUGCUGACUAAUGGAGCCCCCAGCAAGUCUGCCUUUUAAUAUCCAGUAACUGUGAAUGUUGCCUUAUAUGGUGCCUUUGCAUUUGCCAUCAGUUAAAGAUCUCUAGAUGGGGAGAUAACUCUAGAUUAUCGAGGUGGGCCUCAUGUAGGCACAAGAGGGAUGAAGGAGGACGCAGAGUCAGACAGUGGCAAUGUGACAAGGGACUCGGCAGAGGGACGGAGAAGGAGGUCUGAAGAUGCUAUGCUGCUAGCCUUGAAGAUAGAGGGAGGGGCCACUAGCCAAAGAAUGUAGUUGGCCUCUGGGAGCUGGAAAGGUCAAGGAACAGGGGUUCUCCCCUGGAACCUCCAAAAGAAUGCAGCCUUGAAGACCUACACUUCAGUAAAAAUAAAUAUUAAAAAAAAAUUGGUUUUUUUUUUAAACUUGAUGAAAGCCAUAAACCCCUUUUCUCAACAACAACAACAACACAAUGUGUAAGUGCAUAUAUAACCAUACAACCAGAACAUGUCACGCAUAACAUCAGGAAGCUCACAGGCUUCUUACCUCAAGAACCAUAAGAUAAUAAAUCAGUGUUGUUUUAGGCCACUUAAGUCUGAGGCACUUUGUAGGAAACUGAUAUAGGUAUGCUAACCAAGACUGUCCUCUUUCUCCCCCUUUCCGUCUGACUCCUUCGGACUAGGAGGCGAUGGCCUUUGCUCGCAGAGUUGCUAUCGCAGACCUAGAUCAGUCCUUUGAGGCAGGGCUCUUGUGCCGAUCCUAGUGAGUGUCAGAAAGCUCUUCUCACCUCACUCCGUGUCUCCCAAAGUUCCUGGACCAGCUUCUCAUCCCACUGGUCUCGUAUACGAACGGUCUCCCUACCAUUUCCUGAACUCCUUUGGUUUUUUGGGGUUUUUUUGUCUUUUUAGGACCGCACCCAUGGCAUAUGGAGGUUCCCAGGCUAGGGGGCCAAUCAGAGCUGUAGCCACCAGCCUACACCGUUUGCCUUGUGGACCCAGUCACUGAUAAAGUUAGCAAAUACUUUUUUUGUUUUGUUUUUCUUUUUAGGGCCACACCUGCAGCAUAUGGAAGUUCCCGGACUAGGGGUCAAAUUGGAGCUGCAGCUGGAGCCUAUGCCACAGCCACAGCAACGCCAGAUCUAAGCUGCAUCUUUGAUAUAUGUCUCAGCUUGCAGAAACUCUGGAUCAUAAACCCACUAAGCGAGGCCAGGGAUUGAACGUGGAUCCUCAUGGAUACUAGUUGUGUUCUUAACCCACUGAGCCACAAGGGAACUUCCAGCAAAUACUUUUUGAGUAUUUUCCACGUGUCAGACACUAUGUUAUGUGCUGUGUGUAGAGAAGGAUGAAUUAGAUCUCUUCCUCGUCCUUAUGAAUUAAUGGGUGAGAAAGACAAAGACAAAUAAAAUCACAAUUCAGAGACAUAAGCAACAUAAAUAGUCUUCUCCAUCCUGUGUUGUUAGUAUUAUUGAAGUCCUCUGCUCGCAUCCCAAAUCUCAAAGACAGAUGCAAAGAAGUAUCAGAGGACAAAAAGGAGACCAAAUUGCAAAUGAUUGCCUUUUUUUCCCUUUGUAACUCUAUGGAGAA